CUCUCUCUCUCUCUCUCAGACACAUUGCCAAGUUUGUAACAAAUCGUUGAAUAGUUUGUUGGCUAGCUAGGUCUCAAGCUUGACAUGAUGCAGGUUUACUUUGUCUGUUUUACUAGAAUGCAAUAGCCUAUAUGUAAUGGGAUUUGAGGCUUUGGUUACACUAAACCCCAGAUGCACUGUCUAAAUGAAAAACACAAGGAUAAUGGCUGUCACGGCUGUUUUGGAUAUAAGAACCCCCUAAAAUCUGCAGCCUAUUAGGUAUUCUAAAGCUGUUCUCUCUCCCAUAUUUCAUACUGCAUGUGCCUAAAUCUCUCGUGCAAAAUCUGCAUAUUGUAAUUAAUGCAUUUAUGAUUUACCUUUGGUUUUUCCUUUUAUUGAAUUAUAGUCGGAUACUUGCAAACAUCUACAUUUAAUGCAAUUUGCAAUUCCUAAAAGAUUGCACUUCGACUAUUAUUUCCGUGGUUGUAUUUUAAAUCUAUGCUAAAUAAUGCUCUGACAAAUUGAUAAUUUGUACCAUAGUUGCUGCAAACCCCCAGCCUCCCUUUUGUUGCACCUAAAGGUAAGGGGAGAAAAAAAAGAAAUAGGGAAAAGUCUAGGCCUGUGUAGAAGCACCUUAAAUUGCAGAUCGUGAUAGAUUUAUGGUUGUCAUAUUACUUGCUCCCACAAAGUGUGUCACUCGAAGAUGAAAGCAAUCCUUGAAUGCAUAGCAUAUUCAAGGCUCUGUUACAUCUGCUCGAUUUUGGGUGUUGGAAUUGAGAUUCAUUAUAUAAUUGGUUUUGGAAGGC
rnacentral:misc_RNA from 1 species